AUCCCUGAAAGAAGAUCAGGUAGAUAGGUUUGGAGUGGAAGUAUGGCGACAUAUGGAGCGGACAAAUACUAAUCGAUCGAGGACUUAACCAAU
rnacentral:rRNA from 1 species